CCUACGGGAGGCUGCAGUGAGGAAUAUUGGUCAAUGGCCGAGAGGCUGAACCAGCCAAGUCGCGUGAGGGAAGACGGCCCUACGGGUUGUAAACCUCUUUUGUCGGAGAACAAAACCCGGGACGUGUCCCGGACUGCGUGUAUCCGACGAAAAAGCAUCGGCUAACUCCGGGCCAGCAGCCGCGGUAAUACUGAGUAGGCGAGCGUUAUCCGGAUUCAGUGGGUUUAAAGGUUGCGUAGGCGGUCCGUUAAGUCAGCGGUAAAAUUGCGGGGCUCAACCCCGUCUAGCCGUUGAAACUGGCAGACUAGAGUUGGCGAGAGGUACGCGGAAUGCGCGGUGUAGCGGUGAAAUGCAUAGAUAUCGCGCAGAACUCCGGUUGCGAAGGCAGCGUACCGGCGCCAGACUGACGCUGAGGCACGAAGGCGUGGGGAUCGAACAGGAUUAGAUACCCCUGUAGUC
rnacentral:rRNA from 1 species